rnacentral:rRNA from 1 species
AUUAGACUACCCCUGUAGUCCGAGGGUAGUAAACGCUGCAGACUUGGUGUUGGAGUCCCGUUUGGGGGCAUUCAGUGCCGGAGAGAAGUUGUUAAGUCUGCUACGUUGGGAGUACGUCCGACAAAGAUAGAAAACUUAAAGGAAUUGGCGGGGGAGCACCGCAACGGGAGGAGCGUGCGGUUUAAUUGGAUUCAACACCGUAAAACUCACCAGGGAAGACUGUUACAUGAAGGCCGAGAUGAAGACUCUGCUAGAUUUUCAG